CAGCGCCACGAGUGGUAACCACGUUUAUUGGGCCUAAAGCAUCCGUAGCCGGCUCUGUAAGUUUUCGGUUAAAUCUGUAUGCUCAACAUACAGGCUGCCGGGAAUACUGCAGAGCUAGGGAGUGGGAGAGGUAGACGGUACUCGGUAGGAAGGGGUAAAAUCCUUUGAUCUAUUGAUGACCACCUGUGGCGAAGGCGGUCUACCAGAACACGUCCGACGGUGAGGGAUGAAAGCUGGGGGAGCAAACCGGAUUAGAUACCCGAGUAGUCC
rnacentral:rRNA from 1 species